UGAACGCUGACAGAAUGCUUAACACAUGCAAGUCAACUUGAAUUUGGGUUUUUAACUUAGGUUUGGGUGGCGGACGGGUGAGUAACGCGUAAAGAACUUGCCUCACAGCUAGGGACAACAUUUGGAAACGAAUGCUAAUACCUAAUAUUAUGAUAAUAGGGCAUCCUAUAAUUAUGAAAGCUAUAAGCGCUGUGAGAGAGCUUUGCGUCCCAUUAGCUAGUUGGAGAGGUAACGGCUCACCAAGGCGAUGAUGGGUAGCCGGCCUGAGAGGGUGAUCGGCCACAAGGGGACUGAGACACGGCCCUUGCUCCUACGGGAGGCAGCAGUGGGGAAUAUUGGACAAUGGACCGAGAGUCUGAUCCAGCAAUUCUGUGUGCACGAUGAAGUUUUUCGGAAUGUAAAGUGCUUUCAGUUGGGAAGAAACAAAUGACGGUACCAACAGAAGAAGUGACGGCUAAAUACGUG
rnacentral:rRNA from 1 species